rnacentral:sRNA from 1 species
GGAGGAGCCUGGAUGCUGCCUGCAGGACCUCAGGCUGUGCCUGCUGGGCAAAGCCCUGGGCAGGGAAGGAACUGCAGCCUCCACAGAGGGUGGAUGUGGUGGAGAGGUGGGAGGCCAGCUCCUGUCAUCCGAGGUCCAGGCAAGCCA